UACCCGCUGAACUUAAGCAUAUCAAUAAGCGGAGGAAAAGAAACUAACAAGGAUUCCCCUAGUAACUGCGAGUGAAGCGGGAAAAGCUCAAAUUUAAAAUCUGGCGGUCUUUGGCCGUCCGAGUUGUAGUCUGGAGAAGUGCUUUCCGCGCUGGACCGUGUAUAAGUCUCUUGGAACAGAGCGUCAUAGAGGGUGAGAAUCCCGUCUUUGACACGGACUACCAGUGCUUUGUGAUGCGCUCUCAAAGAGUCGAGUUGUUUGGGAAUGCAGCUCAAAAUGGGUGGUGAAUUCCAUCUAAAGCUAAAUAUUGGCGAGAGACCGAUAGCGAACAAGUACCGUGAGGGAAAGAUGAAAAGCACUUUGGAAAGAGAGUUAAACAGUACGUGAAAUUGCUGAAAGGGAAACGCUUGAAGUCAGUCGCGUGUCCGGAACUCAGCCUUGCUUUUGCUUGGUGCACUUUCCGGAUGACGGGUCAGCAUCGAUUUUGACCGUCGGAAAAGGGCUGGAGUAAUGUGGCACCUCCGGGUGUGUUAUAGACUCUGGUCGCAUACGGCGGUUGGGAUCGAGGAACGCAGCGCGCCGCAAGGCAGGGGUUCGCCCACUUUCGCGCUUAGGAUGCUGGCAUAAUGGCUUUAAACGACCCGUCUUGAAACACGGACCAAGGAGUCUAACAUACCUGCGAGUGUUUGGGUGGAAAACCCGAGCGCGCAAUGAAAGUGAAAGUUGAGACCCCUGUCGUGGGGGGCAUCGACGCCCGGACCUGACGUUCUCUGACGGUUCCGCGGUAGAGCAUGUAUGUUGGGACCCGAAAGAUGGUGAACUAUGCCUGAAUAGGGUGAAGCCAGAGGAAACUCUGGUGGAGGCUCGUAGCGAUUCUGACGUGCAAAUCGAUCGUCAAAUUUGGGUAUAGGGGCGAAAGACUAAUCGAACCAUC
rnacentral:rRNA from 1 species